rnacentral:tRNA from 1 species
GGGCCAGUCGUCUAGUUUGGUCAGGACAUCGCUCUGACACGGCGAAGGUCCCCGGUUCAAUUCCGGGCUGGCCCACCA